CAUGCUAUUUCCUGCUGGAAAGCCUCGCCGUGCUUUCUCCCGCCGUCUGCCAUUUCAUGGACGGAGGAAGCGCGGGCAGGCUGCUGGUAGAGGUGCAG
ensembl:miRNA gga-mir-6564 gga-mir-6564